rnacentral:rRNA from 1 species
GAGAAGGAUGAGGUGAAAGUAUAACUGCGUGGAGGUCCGAACCCCCGCGGUUGUCAAAGCUCGCGGAUAACUUGUGGGUAGCGGUGAACUGCUAAUCGAGCCCGGAGAUAGCUGGUUCGCCCCGAAAUAUCGUUAGGGCUAGCCUCAAGGUGAGAGAUACGGAGGUAGAGCACUGAAUGUCCUAGGGGGUAUUGCACCUACCGAAGACUAUCAAACGCCGAAUGCCGUCAUCUUAUACUUGGGAGU